AAGAAAUUAGUUUAAAUAAAACAUUAGAUUGUCAAACUAAAAAUAUUAAUAAUAAUAUUUCUUA
rnacentral:tRNA from 1 species